rnacentral:rRNA from 1 species
AGCGAACGCUGGCGGCAGGCUUAACACAUGCAAGUCGAGGGGCUCGGCCGACGGGUGAGUACCGCGUGGGAACGUACCUUUUGGUUCGGAACAACACAGGGAAACUUGUGCUACUCCCGGAGACCGAAAAAUAGGCCCGCGUCGGAUUAGCUAGUUGGAGAGUUACUGGCGCACCAAGGCGACGAUCAGUAGCUGGUCUGAGAGGAUGAUCAGCCACAUUGGGACGGAGACACGGCCCAAAAUCCUACGGAAGGCGGCAGUGGGGAAUAUUGGAAAAUGGGGGCAACCAUGAUCAAGCCAAGCCGGGUGAGUGAUGAAGGCCCUAGUGUUGUAAAGCUCUUUUGUGCGGGAAGCGGUACCGUCAGAAUAAGCACCGGCUAACUUCGUGCGAGAAGCCGCGGGAAUUC